rnacentral:rRNA from 1 species
UACGUAGGGGGCUAGCGUUGUCCGGAAUCAUUGGGCGUAAAGCGUGCGCAGGCGGUGAUGUAAGACAGUUGUGAAAUCCCCGGGCUCAACCUGGGAACUGCAUCUGUGACUGCAUCGCUGGAGUACGGUAGAGGGGGAUGGAAUUCCGCGUGUAGCAGUGAAAUGCGUAGAUAUGCGGAGGAACACCGAUGGCGAAGGCAAUCCCCUGGACCUGUACUGACGCUCAUGCACGAAAGCGUGGGGAGCAAACAGG